rnacentral:rRNA from 1 species
GCUACCAUGCAAGUCAGCGGAACGACCUAACAUCCUUCUGGUGCGUUGAUGGGCGUCGAGCGGCGGACGGGUGAGUAAUGCCUAUGAAAGUGCCUUGAUGUGGGGGAUAACCAUUGGAAACGAUGGCUAAUACCGCAUGAUGCCUAGGGGCCACAGAUGGCGACCUUCGGGCCUCUCGCGUCAAGAUAUGCCUAGGUGGGAUUAGCUAGUUGGUGAGGUAAUGGCUCACCAAGGCUACGAUCCCUAGCUGGUCUGAGAGGAUGAUCAGCCACACUGGAACUGACACACGGUCCAGACACCUACGGGAGGCAGC